rnacentral:rRNA from 1 species
CGGAACACGUACGCAAUCUACCCAAAACUGAUGAAUAGCCCUCCGAAAGGAGGAUUAAUACAUCGUAACUUAUUAGAGUGGCAUCACUUUAUUAAUAUAGCUCCGGCGGUUUUGGAUGAGCGUGCGGCUGAUUAGAUAGUUGGCAGGGUAACGGCCUACCAAGUCUACGAUCAGUAACUGGUGUGAGAGCACGACCAGUCACACGGGCACUGAGACACGGGCCCG